rnacentral:lncRNA from 1 species
ACAUAUUUUUCCGUCUGUAAUUAAUCUUUGUUGUGUGUGUAAAAACAGACGGGAAAGAAGAAACACAUCCCACAGAUCAUUCCCACGGAUCGAUGAUAUGGCAGUAUCUCAUGAGCAUAACCCUAAAAACCACACCGUUUGUCCCGCCCCCACACCUCACGUACCCCAUAGGUUCACACUCGUCCCCACUACUCUCUCU